AGCUGCCAUCAAGCCUAGUGACUUGAGCUGUUUCCAGGACCUGCAUGAAGGCGAGAGAGAAUCAACUCCCACAAGUUACCUCACUCUCCAUCGCACGUGCACACCCAGUAAAUAAAAGUGUAGUUUAAAAAAUUAAAAUGGAGCCGGGCGUGGUGGCGCAUGCCUUUAAUCCCAGCACUCGGGAGGCAGAGACAGGUGGAUUUCUGAGUUUGAGGCCAGCCUGGUCUACAUAGUGAGUUCCAGGACAGCCAGGGCUACACAGAGAAACCCUGUCUCAAAAAAACCAAAAAAAAAAAAAAAAAAAAAAAAAAAAAAUUAAAAUGGUCAGGUGUGGUGGCGCAUGCCUUUAAUCCCAGCACUCGGGAGGCAGAGGCAGGAGGAUUUCUGAGUUUGAGGCCAGCCUGGUCUACAAAGUGAGUUCCAGGACAGCCAGGGCUACAUGGAGAAACCCUGUCUCGAAAAACCAAAAAAAAACAAACAAACAAACAAAAAAAUUAAAAAUGGCUCAGUGGUUAGGAGCAUGGUCUGUUCUUCUAGGGGACCCAGCACCCACACAGGCGGCUCAGAACUCUCUGGAACGCCAGCUCCAGGAGAAUCAGCACUCUCACGAAGACAUGCAUGCAGACAGAACACCAGCACUUAAAAUAAAAAUAAAUC
rnacentral:lncRNA from 1 species